rnacentral:rRNA from 1 species
GAAAGUAAUGAAGGGCGUACGGUGGAUGCCUAGGCUCUUACAGGCGAUGAAGGACGUGAUAAGCUGCGAAAAGCCGCGGUGAGGCGCAAAUGGCCCUUGACCCGCGGAUCUCCGAAUGGGACAACCCAAUAUCUUGAAGAGAUAUUAUCCCGCCGAUGCGGGAGGCGAACGCGGGGAACUGAAACAUCUUAGUACCCGCAGGAAAAGAAAAUAAAGAAUGAUUCCCCCAGUAGUGGCGAGCGACCGGGGAAGAGCCCAAACCGACGUUGUCUCGGCAUCGUCGGGGUUGUAGGACCGCGCCAUCGCAAGAAAGGCCGUGAGUGGAAGCGACUGGAAAGCCGCGCCAUAGAGGGUGACAGCCCCUUACACGAAGCAGCCUGAAGCGUAGCGGACUCCUGAGUAGCGCGGGACACGAGUAAUCCUGUGUGAAUCCGCCGGGCCCAUCCGGCAAGGCUAAAUACUCGUAAGAGACCGAUAGUGAACCAGUACCGUGAGGGAAAGGUGAAAAGUACCCCUUGCAGGGGAGUGAAAGAGUUCCUGAAACCGUACGCCUACAAGCGGUCGGAGCAUCGAAAUUGAUGUGACGGCGUGCCUUUUGCAUAAUGAACCUACGAGUUGCCGUCACCAGCGAGGUUAAGUGCGACGACGCACCGAGCCGCAGCGGAAGCGAGUCUUAAAAGGGCGCGAUAGUUGGUGGAGGCAGACGCGAAACCGAGUGAUCUACACUUGUCCAGGAUGAAGUCCCGGUAACACGGGAUGGAGGUCCGCACCAAUAAGCGUUGAAAAGCUUCUGGAUGAGGUGAGUGUAGGAGUGAAAGGCCAAUCAAACUCGGAGAUAGCUCGUACUCCCCGAAAGGCAUUUAGGUGCCGCCUGUGGCGUUCCCGACGUGAGGUAGAGCGACUGAUAGGAUGCGAGGGCUUCACCGCCUAUCAAGUCCUGACAAACUCCGAAUGCACGUCGGCCAAGCCAUGGAGUAAGGGCAUGGGUGCUAAGGUCCGUGCCCGAGAGGAGAAGAAUCCAGACCACCGGCUAAGGUCCCGAAAUACUGGUUAAGUUAGACUAACGCAGUCCGGCCCCCAAGACAGCUAGGAUGUUGGCUUGGAAGCAGCCAUUCAUUCAAAGAGUGCGUAACAGCUCACUAGUCGAGGAGCUGGGCGUGGAUAAUAAUCGGGUAUAAAACCAGUUACCGAAGCCGUGGGAUGCUUAAGCAUCGGUAGGGGAGCAUUGCAUGCGGCUUAGAAGGCGGGGCGCGAGCCCCUCUGGAGCGCAUGGAAACGCAAAUGUAGGUAUAAGUAACGACAAGGGGGGUGGGAUGCCCCCCCGCCGAAAGACCAAGGUUUCCUGAACAACGCUAAUCGGUUCAGGGUCAGUCGGGUCCUAAGCAUAAGCCGUAUGGCGAAGGCGAUGGACGAAACGGUUAAUAUUCCGUUACUGUCUUGGUGUGUGACGCGGCGACGGAGUAGUGACACGGCCGCCUCCUGACGGAAAAGGAGGUUGAAGCGCAAAGGUGUCGAGGAAGGCAGGCAAAUCCACCUUCCGAGCCGAAGCGCGAUAGUACGCCGGGCCCUUUGGGGCAAGGCGAUAGUGCCGGUAAUCAGACUUCCAAGAAAACCCGCUAAACUUCAGCACCAAGUCACCCGUACUCCAAACGGACACACGUGGUCGGGUAGAAUAUACUAAGGCGCUUGGGAGAUUCACGGUUAAGGAACUAGGCAAAUUGACCCCGUACCUUCGGAAUAAGGGGUCCUCGCUUUUGCGAGGCGCAGAGAAUAGGUCCAGGCAACUGUUUAACAAAAACACAGGGCUGUGCAAAAUUGAAAGAUGAAGUAUACAGCCUGACACCUGCCCGGUGCUGGAAGGUUAAGAGGAGAUGUCAUCGCAAGAGAAGCAUUGAAUUGAAGCCCCAGUAAACGGCGGCCGUAACUAUAACGGUCCUAAGGUAGCGAAAUUCCUUGUC